rnacentral:lncRNA from 1 species
UGGUCAGUUCAGAAAGAGGCAGAUCAAGCAGCAUUUCCAGCCCUACACUGCUUGUGAAUUCUGUUCCUUAUGCACUGUAUGAAGUCUGCUGAUCCAGGAUGACACUCUGGAAGUCAUUUGGGUCUGGACCAAGACCACCAGAGCCCUGAAAGAGAAACAUUAACCAUGUGUCCUAGACCUGAAAUUAGGGGGUGCUUAAAUCCUGGGUGCCACACUCAAGUAUGUAAGAUACUUGGCAAGUUCUGAGUAAGCAUAUAAGGAAUAGACCCCUAGGAUAAUACGCUGGGCCCAGCCAAAACAUGACAGGGUUGUAAUAACCAUUUUCGAUGCAAAAUAAAGCCCUAUUUAUUUCAGAGGGGGGUCUAAGUAUGGUGUGCCACCAGGCUAUUGUUCAUAAUGGAACUGUUAGUCAACUGGGACAUCAGCAAUGCCAGCUAGGUAGAAGCUUGUAUUGCUAUUGUUCUGUGGCAUCAUUGCCAUGCCUGUCUGUGUUCAGUGUGUAUUACUGUAAAGCAGUAACAUGGUUGGCACAUACCUUUAAAACCAAACCUAUGGAAGUAAGAGCAGGUAAGAUUGCAAAUUUGAAACUAGCCUGAGUUGUAGAAUGGGACCCUGUCUCAAACAAAAGUCAAAACUGCCAUUUAGCUGACUUCAAGGUCAUUCACAGGCAUCCAUCAAGAUGUCAGCCAGUGCAGCUGUCAUCUUCUGGCAUAUUGGGUUAGGAUGUACUUAGAAGUUCUGUAGUUGGCAGGACUCAGUUUCUUACAAGUUCAGUUUCUUGAAUGUGGGUGGAUUUUUCACAGGGCAGCUCACAAUAUGGCUGAUUGCUUCAUGAGAUCAAGAUGGGCAAGAAACAGAAAUGACUAUCUCAGAAAUAACAUUCCAUUGUUUUUGCAAUUGACAAUAUUAAUUAGAAGCCAUUAGGAGGGGAAAGGGGGGAAGGUCUAGACCAUAUUCAGAAGGAAGGAAUUAAGAGGAUGGGGUUCAUUGGGGGGGUCAUCUUGGAAAUGAACUAUUAUGGUUUGCUCUCUGAUACUUAAUUUCAUUAAUGUUCCAUCCAUGUACAAAAUAUAUCUACUCCUUAAGUUUUCUUAAGUCCCAUCCCAUUACUGCAUAACCUCAAAGGUGCUAAAUAUGAAUGAAUUGCCUUGGGCACAAUCCCUACAUAUGGCUCAAGUACUGUUUUUCUCUAUGGAUGGAACUGUGAAAUGUAAAAAUACGCAUUAUCCGUCCCUACCACUUCCUAAUAUACAAUGGUGGGAAGGCAUAUACAGACAUUCCAGUUCAAAAAGGGCAAAGGAUAUGUGUGUGCCUGUAGCAGUUGGAAACAGGAGCUGUUUCCAAACUGGUCCGUUACAAGUUAAAUCCAUCUGGGCAUAUGAAGUUCCUUGAAUUGAUUCCAAAACUGAGGAUGGUUUUUCAUACCCCUGUCUCUGCUUUCUGGGCUCUUGCUGUCACCUGUGAUUUUUUUCAUGAGAGGUAGCACAUGCUUGCAACCAAGAUUUUUUUUUCUGUUUCCUGCCAGAAUUUUGGAGGGCCAGGACUGACUUCUUGCAGUGCAUGUGUAAUCAAUUAUCAUCAAGGCAAAGGACUUCUUUUUGGCAUGUUGAGCAUUCAACAGUAAACUACAAUGAGAUUGGCCUUCAGGGCAACCCUGACUUAGAGCCCAUGCCUGCUAUCAUGGCCACUUUGUUCAGAAGCCUAUUGGCAAAGAUAACGGUGACAGGAUAGAGAUUGGCCACACCCAUAGAAUGGAAUAUCUCUUUUGAGAUUUUCUAUACUGGUGCUUGUUUACGUGGGUCAUGAAAAUUCUCACUGUGCUCAUUCCAAAAUGGACAGCUAUUUGCAUAGGCCUUUUUCCUCAGAUGUCUCUUCAACAUUUCAGUCUUGUUAUUUCCAAAUCCUUGACUGUAUGCAGACAUGAACCAGCAAGCUGUCUAUGCUUUUGACUGUUUCUGUAAUAGUAACCCAAAGUGGAGCUGUAACUCUGAAACUAGCCACUUGUAGCAGAGGCUAGCAUGUCCUGCAGAACAUCUGUAAGCCAAGCGUGAAUAUUGUAUCCCUCAGUUGUCUGGUCUCAAGGAAACUCCCCAUGGGGUCUCAAAGGAGGAAAAAAGGAUGACAAUGUAGCAAGUGUGAGUUUCCAGACCUGCACAUAAUUUUAGCGGACAUGAUGGAACAGUUGCAAAUUAUUGUUUGAUGUCAUGGACUCAGAUGUUCAUUUGAGAAAAUGAAAAAGUCCACUUUUCUAUUUUUAUUUUUCUUUGCUUCUGAGAUCUUGCUACUUGCAGUUUUGCCCUCCAUUUUUGUUUGUUUUGUCUUAUAAAUAUGUUGUAUCUUGGGCCAGUGAGAUGGCCCAGUGGGUAAAAGUACUUGCUACACGAGCCUGGUGGCCUGAAUUCAAUCCCAGGGAUCCACGCGGUAAGAGAGAAUCAACUCAUGCAAGUUGUCCUGGUCACCAUUUGUGUGCGUGCACACAUAAAAUAGAUGUAAUAAAAAUAAUUUUUAAAAUGUUGUAUCUCUUUAUUAUUUCCUGUUGAAUCCCAGAGGAGAAAUGAGUCUUCCUCCCCUACCAGGGCCCUUCUCUUCUUUAUGUCAUGUAUAUUGUGUAUAUUUACAUGAUGUAUCCAGAAACUGGAAAAAUCUCCUGGACCAAUAAAAUGACUCAGGAC